AUUUAUAUAAUUUAACUAGAAUAUUGCAUUGAAGCUGCAAAAGUGAGUGCUCACUCUGUAAAUG
rnacentral:tRNA from 1 species